rnacentral:snRNA from 1 species
AUGUGUGCGAGUCAACGGG